GCUUGAUAUACAUAAUGGUCUGCAACAAGGGUAGUGAUGCCCUCUACUGGAUUCUCUUAAUAUUUCUAGUGCUACUCUUCUCUUCCGACAUAGCAUUUGCUAGAGUAUCACCAUUUUCAACAAACAAAGAAAACACCUGGCUGCACUGGCAAAUGAAAAUACGUGUAAGGAGUCCUCAUGAUCCUCCCAAAGGGCAGCACCCUAAGAACACACCCCCACCACCUGACGACAUUGCUUGACGCAACGGUUAUCUCGAUCCCAGCCGUAUGUGGAAUUGUUUCUGCCUUCGUUUGCGAUCUCUUCAAGCUUUUGUUUUGUACUUCUGGAAUUUUUUUUUUUUUUUUAAUAAGAUUGUGCUUCUAGAAUUUGGUUUAGAGUGAGGGGUCUCUAUCCUUAUGUAUUCAGACA